UACGUAGGGUGCGAGCGUUAAUCGGAAUUACUGGGCGUAAAGCGUGCGUAGGCGGUUCUCCAAGUCCGUUGUGAAAGCCCCGGGCUCAACCUGGGAAUGGCAGUGGAAACUAGGGGACUGGAAUCUGGCAGAGGGGGGUGGAAUGCCGCGUGUAGCAGUGAAAUGCGUAGAGAUGCGGCGGAACACCGAUGGCGAAGGCAGCCCCCUGGGUCAAGAUUGACGCUCAUGCACGAAAGCGUGGGGAGCAAACAGG
rnacentral:rRNA from 1 species